rnacentral:rRNA from 1 species
AGAGUUUGAUCCUGGCUCAGAACGAACGCUGGCGGCAUGCCUAACACAUGCAAGUCGAACGGGAUCCUGGCUUCGGUCAGGUGAGAGUGGCGGACGGGUGAGUAACGCGUGGGAACCUGCCCAGUGGUGGGGGAUAACUGCGGGAAACUGCAGCUAAUACCGCAUGAGCCCGAGAGGGGAAAGAUUUAUCGCCAUUGGUGGGGCCCGCGUUCGAUUAGGUAGUUGGUGAGGUAACGGCUCACCAAGCCGACGAUCGAUAGCUGGUCUGAGAGGAUGAUCAGCCACACUGGGACUGAGAUACGGCCCAGACUCCUACGGGAGGCAGCAGUGGGGAAUAUUGGACAAUGGGGGCAACCCUGAUCCAGCAAUGCCGCGUGAGUGAUGAAGGCCUUCGGGUUGUAAAGCUCUUUUGGCGGGGACGAUGAUGACGGUACCCGCAGAAUAAGCCCCGGCUAACUUCGUG